rnacentral:rRNA from 1 species
UACGUAGGGGGCAAGCGUUGUCCGGAUUUAUUGGGCGUAAAGAGCGUGUAGGCGGCCUGACAAGUCUGCUGUGAAAACUCGAGGCUCAACCUCGAGAUGUCGGCGGAAACUGUCUGGCUAGAGUCCGGAAGAGGAGAGUGGAAUUCCUGGUGUAACGGUGAAAUGCGCAGAUAUCAGGAGGAACACCGGUGGCGAAGGCGGGUCUCUGGGCCGAUAUUGACGCUGAGGAGCGAAAGCGUGGGGAGCGAACAGG